rnacentral:rRNA from 2 species
AGGCGAACGCUGGCGGCGUGCCUAAUACAUGCAAGUCGAGCGGACAGAAGGGAGCUUGCUCCCGGAUGUUAGCGGCGGACGGGUGAGUAACACGUGGGUAACCUGCCUGUAAGACUGGGAUAACUCCGGGAAACCGGAGCUAAUACCGGAUAGUUCCUUGAACCGCAUGGUUCAAGGAUGAAAGACGGUUUCGGCUGUCACUUACAGAUGGACCCGCGGCGCAUUAGCUAGUUGGUGGGGUAAUGGCUCACCAAGGCGACGAUGCGUAGCCGACCUGAGAGGGUGAUCGGCCACACUGGGACUGAGACACGGCCCAGACUCCUACGGGAGGCAGCAGUAGGGAAUCUUCCGCAAUGGACGAAAGUCUGACGGAGCAACGCCGCGUGAGUGAUGAAGGUUUUCGGAUCGUAAAGCUCUGUUGUUAGGGAAGAACAAGUGCGAGAGUAACUGCUCGCACCUUGACGGUACCUAACCAGAAAGCCACGGCUAACUACGUGCCAGCAGCCGCGGUAAUACGUAGGUGGCAAGCGUUGUCCGGAAUUAUUGGGCGUAAAGGGCUCGCAGGCGGUUUCUUAAGUCUGAUGUGAAAGCCCCCGGCUCAACCGGGGAGGGUCAUUGGAAACUGGGAAACUUGAGUGCAGAAGAGGAGAGUGGAAUUCCACGUGUAGCGGUGAAAUGCGUAGAGAUGUGGAGGAACACCAGUGGCGAAGGCGACUCUCUGGUCUGUAACUGACGCUGAGGAGCGAAAGCGUGGGGAGCGAACAGGAUUAGAUACCCUGGUAGUCCACGCCGUAAACGAUGAGUGCUAAGUGUUAGGGGGUUUCCGCCCCUUAGUGCUGCAGCUAACGCAUUAAGCACUCCGCCUGGGGAGUACGGUCGCAAGACUGAAACUCAAAGGAAUUGACGGGGGCCCGCACAAGCGGUGGAGCAUGUGGUUUAAUUCGAAGCAACGCGAAGAACCUUACCAGGUCUUGACAUCCUCUGACAACCCUAGAGAUAGGGCUUUCCCUUCGGGGACAGAGUGACAGGUGGUGCAUGGUUGUCGUCAGCUCGUGUCGUGAGAUGUUGGGUUAAGUCCCGCAACGAGCGCAACCCUUGAUCUUAGUUGCCAGCAUUUAGUUGGGCACUCUAAGGUGACUGCCGGUGACAAACCGGAGGAAGGUGGGGAUGACGUCAAAUCAUCAUGCCCCUUAUGACCUGGGCUACACACGUGCUACAAUGGACAGAACAAAGGGCUGCGAGACCGCAAGGUUUAGCCAAUCCCAUAAAUCUGUUCUCAGUUCGGAUCGCAGUCUGCAACUCGACUGCGUGAAGCUGGAAUCGCUAGUAAUCGCGGAUCACAUGCGCGGGGGGAAAAAUACUUUCCCGGGGCCUUGUACACACCGCCCGUCACACCACGAGAGUUUGCAACACCCGAAGUCGGUGAGGUAACCUUUAUGGAGCCAGCCGCCGAAGGUGGGGAAAUGAUUGG